UACGAAGGGGGCUAGCGUUGUUCGGAUUUACUGGGCGUAAAGCGCGCGUAGGCGGAUCUUUAAGUCCAAGGUGAAAUCCCAAGGCUCAACCUUGGAACUGCCUUUGAUACUGGGGAUCUUGAGUCCGGGAUAGGUGAGUGGAACUGCGAGUGUAGAGGUGAAAUUCGUAGAUAUUCGCAAGAACACCAGUGGCGAAGGCGGCUCACUGGCCCGGUACUGACGCUGAGGUGCGAAAGCGUGGGGAGCAAACAGG
rnacentral:rRNA from 1 species